UACGUAGGGUGCAAGCGUUGUCCGGAAUUAUUGGGCGUAAAGAGCUCGUAGGCGGUUUGUUGCGUCGGCUGUGAAAUCCCGAGGCUCAACCUCGGGUCUGCAGUCGAUACGAGCAAACUAGAGUGUUGCAGGGGAGACUGGAAUUCCUGGUGUAGCGGUGAAAUGCGCAGAUAUCAGGAGGAACACCGGUGGCGAAGGCGGGUCCCUUGGCAAUUCCUGACGCUGAGGCGCGAAAGCCUGGGGAGCAAACGGG
rnacentral:rRNA from 1 species